rnacentral:rRNA from 1 species
UUAAGUUAUUAAGGGCGCACGGUGGAUGCCUUGGCACUAGAAGCCGAUGAAGGACGUUACUAACGACGAUAUGCUUUGGGGAGCUGUAAGUAAGCUUUGAUCCAGAGAUUUCCGAAUGGGGAAACCCAGCAUGAGUUAUGUCAUGUUAUCGAUAUGUGAAUACAUAGCAUAUCAGAAGGCACACCCGGAGAACUGAAACAUCUUAGUACCCGGAGGAAGAGAAAGAAAAUUCGAUUCCCUUAGUAGCGGCGAGCGAAACGGGAAGAGCCCAAACCAACAAGCUUGCUUGUUGGGGUUGUAGGACACUCUAUACGGAGUUACAAAGGACGACAUUAGACGAAUCAUCUGGAAAGAUGAAUCAAAGAAGGUAAUAAUCCUGUAGUCGAAAAUGUUGUCUCUCUUGAGUGGAUCCUGAGUACGACGGAGCACGUGAAAUUCCGUCGGAAUCUGGGAGGACCAUCUCCUAAGGCUAAAUACUCUCUAGUGACCGAUAGUGAACCAGUACCGUGAGGGAAAGGUGAAAAGCACCCCGGAAGGGGAGUGAAAUAGAACCUGAAACCGUGUGCUUACAAGUAGUCAGAGCCCGUUAAUGGGUGAUGGCGUGCCUUUUGUAGAAUGAACCGGCGAGUUACGAUUUGAUGCAAGGUUAAGCAGUAAAUGUGGAGCCGUAGCGAAAGCAAGUCUGAAUAGGGCGUUUAGUAUUUGGUCGUAGACCCGAAACCAGGUGAUCUACCCUUGGUCAGGUUGAAGUUCAGGUAACACUGAAUGGAGGACCGAACCGACUUACGUUGAAAAGUGAGCGGAUGAACUGAGGGUAGCGGAGAAAUUCCAAUCGAACCUGGAGAUAGCUGGUUCUCUCCGAAAUAGCUUUAGGGCUAGCCUCAAGUGAUGAUUAUUGGAGGUAGAGCACUGUUUGGACGAGGGGCCCCUCUCGGGUUACCGAAUUCAGACAAACUCCGAAUGCCAAUUAAUUUAACUUGGGAGUCAGAACAUGGGUGAUAAGGUCCGUGUUCGAAAGGGAAACAGCCCAGACCACCAGCUAAGGUCCCAAAAUAUAUGUUAAGUGGAAAAGGAUGUGGCGUUGCCCAGACAACUAGGAUGUUGGCUUAGAAGCAGCCAUCAUUUAAAGAGUGCGUAAUAGCUCACUAGUCGAGUGACACUGCGCCGAAAAUGUACCGGGGCUAAACAUAUUACCGAAGCUGUGGAUUGUCCUUUGGACAAUGGUAGGAGAGCGUUCUAAGGGCGUUGAAGCAUGAUCGUAAGGACAUGUGGAGCGCUUAGAAGUGAGAAUGCCGGUGUGAGUAGCGAAAGACGGGUGAGAAUCCCGUCCACCGAUUGACUAAGGUUUCCAGAGGAAGGCUCGUCCGCUCUGGGUUAGUCGGGUCCUAAGCUGAGGCCGACAGGCGUAGGCGAUGGAUAACAGGUUGAUAUUCCUGUACCACCUAUAAUCGUUUUAAUCGAUGGGGGGACGCAGUAGGAUAGGCGAAGCGUGCGAUUGGAUUGCACGUCUAAGCAGUAAGGCUGAGUAUUAGGCAAAUCCGGUACUCGUUAAGGCUGAGCUGUGAUGGGGAGAAGACAUUGUGUCUUCGAGUCGUUGAUUUCACACUGCCGAGAAAAGCCUCUAGAUAGAAAAUAGGUGCCCGUACCGCAAACCGACACAGGUAGUCAAGAUGAGAAUUCUAAGGUGAGCGAGCGAACUCUCGUUAAGGAACUCGGCAAAAUGACCCCGUAACUUCGGGAGAAGGGGUGCUCUUUAGGGUUAACGCCCAGAAGAGCCGCAGUGAAUAGGCCCAAGCGACUGUUUAUCAAAAACACAGGUCUCUGCUAAACCGUAAGGUGAUGUAUAGGGGCUGACGCCUGCCCGGUGCUGGAAGGUUAAGAGGAGUGGUUAGCUUCUGCGAAGCUACGAAUCGAAGCCCCAGUAAACGGCGGCCGUAACUAUAACGGUCCUAAGGUAGCGAAAUUCCUUGUCGGGUAAGUUCCGACCCGCACGAAAGGCGUAACGAUUUGGGCACUGUCUCAACGAGAGACUCGGUGAAAUCAUAGUACCUGUGAAGAUGCAGGUUACCCGCGACAGGACGGAAAGACCCCGUGGAGCUUUACUGUAGCCUGAUAUUGAAAUUCGGCACAGCUUGUACAGGAUAGGUAGGAGCCUUUGAAACGUGAGCGCUAGCUUACGUGGAGGCGCUGGUGGGAUACUACCCUAGCUGUGUUGGCUUUCUAACCCGCACCACUUAUCGUGGUGGGAGACAGUGUCAGGCGGGCAGUUUGACUGGGGCGGUCGCCUCCUAAAAGGUAACGGAGGCGCUCAAAGGUUCCCUCAGAAUGGUUGGAAAUCAUUCAUAGAGUGUAAAGGCAUAAGGGAGCUUGACUGCGAGACCUACAAGUCGAGCAGGGUCGAAAGACGGACUUAGUGAUCCGGUGGUUCCGCAUGGAAGGGCCAUCGCUCAACGGAUAAAAGCUACCCCGGGGAUAACAGGCUUAUCUCCCCCAAGAGUUCACAUCGACGGGGAGGUUUGGCACCUCGAUGUCGGCUCAUCGCAUCCUGGGGCUGUAGUCGGUCCCAAGGGUUGGGCUGUUCGCCCAUUAAAGCGGUACGCGAGCUGGGUUCAGAACGUCGUGAGACAGUUCGGUCCCUAUCCGUCGUGGGCGUAGGAAAUUUGAGAGGAGCUGUCCUUAGUACGAGAGGACCGGGAUGGACAUACCUCUGGUGUACCAGUUGUCGUGCCAACGGCAUAGCUGGGUAGCUAUGUAUGGACGGGAUAAGUGCUGAAAGCAUCUAAGCAUGAAGCCCCCCUCAAGAUGAGAUUUCCCAACUUCGGUUAUAAGAUCCCUCAAAGAUGAUGAGGUUAAUAGGUUCGAGGUGGAAGCAUGGUGACAUGUGGAGCUGACGAAUACUAAUCGAUCGAAGACUUAAUCAA